rnacentral:lncRNA from 1 species
CCACUUUUUAAUACUUUAGAAAUAAAUAAAUAAGUAAAUGGGAAGGAAAACCCAAACUGAGCUCCUCUUCCUCCUGGAAGGCUCUUCCUCACCCUUCGGAGCACCCUGACCUGGUUUUGCUGCAUCCUCCGAAGCGACAGUGCCUGAGUUUCCUCUACCAGAUUUUGGCUGUGUGUGGGCUGGAUGUCACCAACCGGCGUUGUUUUCAGUGCUAAAACUCCAGGAGGAUCCAUGCAAUGGGAUUCCUCAAAUAAAAAAAGCAUUCCCUCUGUUGGCGCUUGCACUGCGCUGCUCAGGGUGCUGCUGUGUCCCUGGAUAUCGGGACUCUGGUGCACCCAGCUGCUUGCUGGGGAUGCUGUUUGCUAGGAAUUUCAUCCUGACUUAUGUUUCGUAUCCCCAGCGUGCUCGGAGAACCAUCCUUGUGGAGGACUUCGGUGCACUGAACUGCAGAGCCCCAGCAUUGGGGGAUCCUGGAGCUGGAUCACCUUCUUCUAAACCCCGUUCGUGGCAAACCUCAUCUCUUUAUUCAGCUGAUAGCCUUUUGGGACCUGGCUAAAAGCUUCUCCGUCCUUCAAUGUGAAGGGUGUCCUAUAGGCCAACACAAAGAGCUCAGCACCAGCAGCCCUGCGAAUUCCCGCUGUUCAAAAAGUCUUAUAAUGGGCAACCAACCUCUGGGAGACGGUUUGUGAAUUGGUUGAAAUAACAGGCCUGGCUCUCUUCUGGGAAGCUACGUGGAGGUCAGCCUUGAAGAAAAGAGCGGUACAGCAGCUCCAAGCAUUAGCAAGAAGAAAUAACUGAAGCAGAGAGACUUGAACGUAAUUACAGCCUAAGAGCUGCGAUGGGAACUCAGCGACCUGAGCCCAUCUCCUGGACUCCUGUGCAAUCAACAGAUUGACACCACCAGCUCGUGAGGGCUGGUUUCUGGAAGCUGUGCAACGGUGCUGAAUGCCAGAGCAGGUGUAGAAGCAGCACAGGUGGCUGUUCCAAAGGCUGGAGCUAGGAAAGGGUCUCAAAUGCCAUGGAAGAAGCAGAUGGAAGCAACCACUGGAACGCUCCGCGCUUAAUUGAGGGCACCUUCAAGGGUGAGCACGAGGUGACUGCCCACCACCAGGAUGCUCUGCUGCUGCCACGCGAGUCGCUGUCAUUAGAACCAGGAAUGGAGUUUAUAGCUGAGUAACCACAACAACUUUGCACAAAUUAAACAACAUACUGCAGGUUAAUUAGAUUUCUUACUGCUGCCUCAAUUAACUUAGCCCUGUCGUCUGCUGUCAGAAGUGGAUGGAGACCCUUUGAAAUUCAUGGGCUCUAUCGCUGGGAGAUGGGAAUGGCAAAACCUCUCCCUGGGCAACAACACCUCUGAGUGAUGUGUGUUUGCAUGGAUGGGCGAUGCCAUCUUCUGUGCUUGGAAACCCCUUUGUGUGGCAGGGGAGAACAGCAGGAGAUGCACUCGUCCUCCACCAGCGUGGUGACCAAGGAGGAUUUCCCCCCUGGUGUUUCAAACUCACCUCGUUGUAAGACAAUCUUAAAAAACAAAUAGCAAAAAAAAAAAAUAUAUAUAUAUAUAUAUAUAUGGAGGAAAAGUCUUUUUUUUUUUUUUCCUUAAUCGUUCCACACAACGCUGUGUGAAUGCAAAUAAAUAAAAGGGCCCCCUAUGAAAACAUCUGAGAAUGCUGGUUUGUAUUUUUAAACCAAUUUCCUUCGACUGUGUCAGGGCCUGUUUUGUGUUUGCUCGACAAUUAUGUGGCUAAUGAGGACAGCCACAGCUACAUUAGGCAGGAUUAGGAAGAAUAAGGCUACAAAUGCUUCAGUGCUUAAGACAACCACUGACUAAUGGGGGGUAGGAGGGCACGCUCCUGGAGCAGGCAGCUCCUCACAGGGUUUCUCGUGCUGCUUGGUUGGGCAGGAGGGAAGGGGAAGAGCAGGAGUGACAAGAAGGGCUUCUUGUCCCAUCUGCUGAGGGGUGGCCAUGCCUGUGGGAUAGGAAGAAGCUCGGGGUGCAAAGCAAAACAUCUCAUCCUCAAUGCCCUCCUCACAAAGAGAGCUUUGUUGAAUGGCCAGGACUGAGGUGUAAACCUGGAAAAGGCUGUAUGAAUGCUCAUGAACCAACCCCAAAAAUGAGCAGCUGUGGUUGUACCGAGAGCCCUGCUUCUCUGACAGCAUCGUGGCUUGGAUGUGUUUAUCACAAGAGGAGGUCACUGGAGAUGCCUUUUCCUGUCAGUCGUUCUGAAGGGUACAGCUCUGCAGAAGGGUUGAGGUGGCAUGGUGCCUACUCUUCCUCCCUCUCUUUCUGUUGCCACUGUGAUCCCUAUUGCUGAUUCUCCAGCUGCUUCUUUGGUCCCAGUGCUUGGUCUCGUUGCUACGAUCCCACAGUCUGUAGGGUUGCAAUAGUCCUCCAGCUGAGGAGAGGUGCCUGCAGCUCAUGGAGACCCCACAGAGACCCCAAUCCCUGGGCACGGGGCUGUUUUCACCAGCUGCAGACCAGG